rnacentral:rRNA from 1 species
CCUACGGGAGGCAGCAGUGAGGAAUAUUGGUCAAUGGACGAGAGUCUGAACCAGCCAAGUAGCGUGAAGGAUGACUGCCCUAUGGGUUGUAAACUUCUUUUAUAAAGGAAUAAAACGAGGCACGUGUGCCUUUUUGCAUGUCCUUUAUGAAUAAGGAUCGGCUAACUCCGUGCCAGCAGCCGCGGUAAUACGGAGGGUCCGAGCGUUAUCCGGAUUUUUUGGGUUUAAAGGUAGCGUAGAUGGGUUGUUAAGUCAGUUGUGAAAGUUUGCGGGUCAACCGUAAAAUUGCAAUUGAUACUGGCAGUCUUGAGUACAGUUGAGGUAGGCGGAAUUCGUGGUGUAGCGGUGAAAUGCUUAGAUAUCACGAAGAACCCCGAUUGCGAAGGCAGCUUACUAAACUGUGACUGACAUUGAUGCUCGAAAGUGUGGGUAUCAAACAGGAUUAGAUACCCUUGUAGUC